UACGAAGGGGGCUAGCGUUGUUCGGAAUUACUGGGCGUAAAGCGCGCGUAGGCGGACUGACAAGUCGGGGGUGAAAUCCCGAGGCUCAACCUCGGAACUGCCUUCGAUACUGUCAGUCUUGAGGUCGGGAGAGGUGAGUGGAACUCCGAGUGUAGAGGUGAAAUUCGUAGAUAUUCGCAAGAACACCAGUGGCGAAGGCGGCUCACUGGCCCGGAACUGACGCUGAGGUGACGAAAGCGUGGGGAGCAAACAGG
rnacentral:rRNA from 1 species